rnacentral:rRNA from 1 species
UACAGAGGUGGCAAGCGUUGUUCGGAAUUACUGGGCGUAAAGGGCGCGUAGGCGGUUCGUUAAGUCCUGUGUGAAAGCCCCCGGCUCAACCGGGGAAGUGCAUCUGAAACUGCAGAGCUUGAGUGCCGGAGAGGGUGGCGGAAUUCCCCAAGUAGAGGUGAAAUUCGUAGAUAUGGGGAGGAACACCGGUGGCGAAGGCGGCCACCUGGACGGUAACUGACGCUGAGACGCGAAAGCGUGGGGAGCAAACAGG